CUGGAGCGCGGCGACACUCACGCCGCGGGAAGGACGGACGGACGGACGCGCCGCCGCCCCCUCCGCAGCCAUGGCCGAGCACGCCGCCCGCCGCUGCUGCCUCGGCUGGGACUUCAGCACGCAGCAGGUGAAAGUUGUUGCUGUUGACGCAGAGCUGAAUGUGUUCUAUGAGGACAGUGUGCAUUUUGACAGAGACCUUCUAGAAUUCGGGACUCAGGGUGGAGUUCACGUUCACGAGGAUGGGCUGACAGUGACAUCUCCAGUCCUGAUGUGGGUCCGGGCUUUGGAUAUCAUCUUGGAGAGGAUGAAGGCCUCGGGCUUUGACUUCUCUCAAGUCCUCGCCCUGUCUGGGGCCGGCCAGCAACAUGGAAGUGUAUACUGGAAGGCUGGGGCCAGCCAGGUGCUGAGAAGCCUGUCACCAGACCUCCCGUUACAUAAGCAGCUGCAGGCUUGUUUCUCCAUCAGCGACAGCCCGGUGUGGAUGGACUCCAGCACCACAGACCAGUGUCGCCAGCUGGAGGCCGCGGUGGGCGGCGCCCAGGCUCUCAGCUGCCUCACAGGCUCCCGGGCCUACGAGCGAUUUACGGGAAACCAGAUCGCGAAGAUUUACCAGCAGAACCCCGAGGCCUACUCACACACGGAGAGAAUUUCUUUGGUCAGUAGCUUUGCUGCCUCCCUGUUCCUUGGGUCUUACUCUCCUAUCGACUGCAGUGAUGGUUCUGGAAUGAAUUUGUUGCAGAUCAAGGACAAAGUCUGGUCGCGGGUCUGCCUUGCUGCCUGUGCUCCUCAUUUAGAGGAGAAGCUUGGUUCACCGGUACCGUCCUGCUCAGUUGUGGGAGUCAUUUCUUCCUACUACGUCCAGCGCUAUGGAUUUCCUCCAGGAUGCCAAGUGGUGGCCUUUACUGGGGACAACCCUGCGUCGCUGGCAGGCAUGAGGCUGGAGGAAGGUGACAUUGCGGUCAGCCUGGGCACCAGCGACACCCUAUUUCUCUGGCUCCAGGAGCCCAUGCCCGCCCUGGAAGGGCACAUCUUCUGCAACCCCGUUGGCUCCCAGCACUACAUGGCACUCCUCUGCUUUAAAAAUGGCUCCCUCAUGAGAGAGAAGAUCCGUGAUGAGUCAGCUGCCUGUUCCUGGAGUGAGUUCUCUGAGGCACUGCGGUCCACGGAGAUGGGGAACGGCGGGAACCUGGGUUUUUAUUUUGACGUAAUGGAGAUCACCCCUGAAAUUAUUGGGCGCCAUAGGUUUAGUGCAGAAAACCGCAAGGUCCCAGCAUUCCCCAGGGAUGUGGAGAUCCGAGCACUGAUUGAAGGGCAGUUCAUGGCCAAGAGGAUUCAUGCCGAGGGCUUGGGCUACCGAGUCAUGCCCAAGACAAAGAUUUUGGCCACUGGAGGGGCAUCUCACAACAGAGACAUCUUACAGGUACUUGCGGAUGUGUUUGGCGCCCCAGUGUAUGUCAUAGACACUGCCAACUCUGCCUGUGUGGGCUCUGCGUACCGAGCUUUCCAUGGCCUUGCAGCUGGAACAGACGUGCCCUUUUCAGAGGUUGUGAAGUUAGCCCCACCUCCCAGAUUAGCUGCUACCCCAACCCCAGGAGCUUCUCAGGUCUACGAGGCCCUCCUUCCUCGAUACGCCAAGCUUGAGCAGAGAAUCCUGUCGCAGACCCAGGGGCCUCCUGAGAGAAUUCCUCAGGCCCAGGCACCCCUGUUAACCCUGCCUGCUCAGACUCACUGAUCCCGCCUCGAGACGUGCUCCUGGACAGCAGGGAUCCUCCUCCUUGUUCUAAGUGACUGUGCCUGCCCACCUUGCACUGCUCCAGUCCUGCCCCGGACCACCUAAACCCAGGGGACUUUUAUGUACAGGGACUUAAAUCAGCAGAACGGGGGAAAACAAAGCCAUCCCUCAUCCCUUGACCCCAGCACCCCCUUCUCCAACUCGGACUCUUUGGCCACUCCUCCCCAAACUGCAACCCACAGCCACCCCCACCCCGUAUCGUGACCCCGCUAUCCCAUUUCACCACCCCCCCAACCCUGACUCCCUUCUUUCAGUGUCUGAAUGGCCUCCUAGUUUCUUGCUUUCUUGUCUUCCCCUUGCUCACUCCUCCUUCAAGGUUUCUCCCUUCUGUCCUUCCAGCAUCUGCCCCUCAUCCUACGUGAUCUCUUCUUCCUCCCCAUGCCUACCUGCUGAAACUCACUACCUCCCACCCAAAGAGUUUGACGGACCUGAUGACCGUGCUUCCUGUCCCCUCCCAUCAGCUCUCCCCACUGGUUGCCUGACUCCCUGGCACACCAGACCACUUGGAGGGCCCCUCUUCCAGGUAGUACAGGGUAGCACCUCCCUCCCUCCGUCCCUUCCUUCGGGGAGAAUUUCUCAGAUUCUGGAUUUUUUUAUUCUAUUUCUGUAGUGUCGUUUGACAUGUUCUCUAUCUUCUAUAUUUCCUAAAGAUUGGUGGUUGGAUCCGAUACAGAGUUCCUCACCCUCAGUACUAUUGACAUUUGGGACUGGAUAAGUUUUGGGUGUGGGGGGCAGCAGUAUCCCUGGCGUCUGCCCGCCAGAUGCCAGUGUCACCCUCUCCCCGAGCCGUGACAAUCCAGAAUGUCUCCAGACGUGGCCAGAUACCUCCCGGUGGGGAUGGGGAGGCCAAAUUGCCCCUCGUUCGUAACCACUGACUUAAGAGACUCGAUCAGACACGAUGCAAUUUUCCUUUUUGUGUCAGACAACCAAGACGGUGUUCUUCCAUCAGGAGGCACGUAAUGUCUGGUUUUCUCUCACUGUCGUGAUGUUCAUCCCCACCUCCAUCAGCUCACUAGGGAUCAGCUCACUAGUUUUGGUAGUCCUCUUCAUUUAUGACCUGGCAUUCUUCUAUGUGAGACAUUUCCCAUCCAGGUGCCCCGUGGUGGUGUUUAUAUAGGAGAGGCCGAAUGAAUAGAUUCUUCCCGGUGUUCACUAGUGUUCAAAAUAAUGGGUUAAUCCCCAGGCAUCCUCUAACAGCAGCUAGGUAUUUUUUUCAGUGUCAAUCUGAUGCAUUUAGCAUAUUUUAUGUGUCUUAAUCCAUUGGGGUAAUUAUUUCUGUCCUUGCCUUCUGUUGUUAGCCAUUCUCUCCAGCUCUUCUGCUUUCCUGACGUUUCAUUCCUUCUUUCCUUACUGAUACUUCUGCUCUGUUUACCCCUUCAUUCCUGCCGGGCCCCAAAUCUCUGUCCUCAUCCUUCUUUCUCACCCAUUCUGUCCUCUGGUUAGAUGAUUUCAUCUAUUCUUGGGUUUCAACCACCGUUUCCAUACCAGGAACAUCCAGAUCUGUUUCCAUCCAGAACUCUGCUUGGAGUCUACCAGCAUUCUCACAGGGGUACUUCAGACUCCACUUGUCUUCCCUUGCCCUUCCCCCAACCUCCUCCUCUCAUGUUGCUGUUUCAGUGAACUGGAAUCACCAUGCACCCAUGCAUUCAGGAACCCAACCCCCAAAUGCAGAUAUCCUCUCUCUUUCCCACGUCAGAUGAGUCACCAGCGGACUCUAAUGACUCUCCCUUGCUGACUUGGAUGAAGUAAGCUGUCCUAUGGAGAGACCCACAUGGCAGGGAAGUGAGGGCAGUUUCUGGCCAAUAACCAUUCAAUAGUUGAGGCCCUCAGUCCAGCAAUUAACAAGGAGCUGGAUCCUGCUAACAACCACAUGACUUCCCUAGUCAAGCCUCAAAUGAGACCCCCAACUCUGGCCAACAUCUUGAUUAUAGCCUUGUGAGAGGUUCUGACGCAGAGGACCAGAGGACUCAGUUGCUCUGUGAGGAUUUUGGAAGAUUCGAAAACUAUACCACCACCAGCCUAGCCACCACUUUCCUGGAAUCUGGUAGAAGUUUUAAGAGCCUGAAUAUAAUUUACCAUGCUCUUGCCUUCUGUCUCUGCAAUAAUAGAAGCAUGUGUCAAAAUGUAGCCUACAUUAGCUCGUGUCCCUGAGUUAUUACAAUGAGUAGAAUUUGCUUGGUGACUCACCAUGGACAGGUAGCACGAGCGAAAAAUAAAUUUGGUUGUUUUAAGCCAUCGAGAUUUGGACAUUUUCCGUUACCGCUGCAUAAUCAAAUCUAUUUUGAGAGACCUUUCUACCCAACCCAAUGAAUUUAGUUGCUUUCAAGAUGGCCACCAUAAGUUAAGAAAGAGAGAAUGGGGAGAAGUAUGAAGAGAAGGGGGAAAAGAAAUAAAAACAGUUGGAGAGUUGUCGAAGUCACUUUUAAUGUUGAUGGCACAUAGGAUAGAUUGGAAAUAAACAGAUGGCUUACUAAGGUUUGGUUCACCCCCAUUAUAUAGAGUGGGGUUCACCCCCAUUAUAUAGAGUGAAUAGUACCCUCUGAAAUCUUUUAAUGUGGUACUGCUGUAACUAAAUUACCCACUAAUAUGUUCUAGUAUAUAUUACCCUAUAUCUCUCAUA